UACGGAGGAUGCGAGCGUUAUCCGGAUUUAUUGGGUUUAAAGGGUGCGUAGGCGGGUUAUCAAGUCAGCGGUAAAAUACGGGGGCUCAACCUCCGCCCGCCGUUGAAACUGCAUCCCUUGAGUGCGCGAGAAGUAUGCGGAAUGCGUGGUGUAGCGGUGAAAUGCAUAGAUAUCGCGCAGAACUCCGAUUGCGAAGGCAGCGUACCGGCGCCAGACUGACGCUGAGGCACGAAAGCGUGGGGAUCGAACAGG
rnacentral:rRNA from 1 species